rnacentral:rRNA from 1 species
GACAGAGGAUGCAAACGUUGCUCGGAAUUACUGGGCGUAAAGCGCGUGUAGGCGGUUCCGCGAGUCGGGUGUGAAAGCCCGGGGCUCAACCCCGGAAGGGCACUCGAUACUACGGAGCUGGAGUACUGAAGAGGAGAGCGGAAUUCCCGGUGUAGAGGUGAAAUUCGUAGAUAUCGGGAGGAACACCAGUGGCGAAGGCGGCUCUCUGGGCAGAUACUGACGCUGAGACGCGAAAGCGUGGGGAGCAAACAGG